rnacentral:tRNA from 1 species
GGACAGGUGGGUGAGUGGCUGAAACCACGCCCCUGCUAAGGGCGGAUAUUCGGAAACGAGUAUCGAGGGUUCGAAUCCCUCCCUGUCCGCCA